GAAUUCGCCCUUAGAGUUUGCUUCUGGCUCAGGACGAACGCUGGCGGCGUGCCUAACACAUGCAAGUCGAGCGGGAAGCUCCGAAAUUGAGACUUCGGUUGAUUUUUUGGAGUGGAGAGCGGCGGACGGGUGAGUAACGCGUGAGUAACCUGCCUACCAGAGGGGGAUAACACAUAGAAAUGUGUGCUAAUACCGCAUGACACCGUAGUACCGCAUGGUACAUCGGUCAAAGAUUUAUCGCUGGUAGAUGGACUCGCGUCUGAUUAGCUAGUUGGAGGGGUAACGGCCCACCAAGGCGACGAUCAGUAGCCGAACUGAGAGGUUGAUCGGCCACAUUGGGACUGAGACACGGCCCAGACUCCUACGGGAGGCAGCAGUGGGGAAUAUUGCGCAAUGGGGGAAACCCUGACGCAGCAACGCCGCGUUGAGGAUGACGGUUUUCGGAUUGUAAACUCAUGUCUGAUGGGAAGAUAAUGACGGUACCAUCGGAGGAAGUCACGGCUAACUACGUGCCAGCAGCCGCGGUAAUACGUAGGUGGCAAGCGUUGUCCGGAAUUACUGGGUGUAAAGGGCGCGUAGACGGGUUGGUAAGUUAGAUGUGAAAUGCCGGGGCUCAACCCCGGAGCUGCAUUUAAAACUGCCGAUCUUGAGUGCAGGAGAGGGAAGCGGAAUUCCUAGUGUAGCGGUGAAAUGCGUAGAUAUUAGGAGGAACACCAGUGGCGAAGGCGGCUUUCUGGACUGUAACUGACGUUGAGGCGCGAAAGCGUGGGUAGCAAACAGGAUUAGAUACCCUGGUAGUC
rnacentral:rRNA from 1 species